CUCUACUCUCUGUAUCUCCACUGUCUCUCUCUUUAUCUUAGACUUUCUGUUGCAUCUCUAUCUGUUGUCCAUGUCUGCUGUGACUCUGAUCCUUCCCGUUCAUCUCGUACAUCGAGCUCUUCUGCUGUUUUCGCCAGUAACACCACGCCCCGAUGGUGGCUGCCACGGCAACCGCGCACAUAGCAACCACAAUGGCUGCAACCGUGGAACCCCUGCCGGAGGAGGGAGGAGGGGGAGGAGGGCAGUCCUCCUCACCCCCAGUACACCCUGUCUCCCCCGUCUCACCUUCGCUCUCCUCCUCCUCACCCUCCAUCUCCCCGCUGUGUCGAGUCAGGUUGUGCUGGGCCGAACGUUCCUCCUCGUCGAUGACGUCAUCAGUCCACGCUGUGGGUGCGGGGCCGUGCUCCAGGAAAGGGUGCACGUGAUCCGUGGUUUCCCAGGAGCCUGUGGGAGAAGGCCUGGCUGUGUUGCCGGAGGCAUCGUCAUCCAGUGAUGAUGUCAGAGAGGGGGUGGCGUAGUCGGCUGAAUGUGAAUCUGAGGCUUCGGGGGAGAGAGGUAGGUCGGGUGAGGCUGUGGCCUCGGGGGAGAGAGGUAGGUCGGGUGAGGCUGUGGCAGGUAGGUCGGGUGAGGCUGUGGCCUCGGGGGAGAGAGGUAGGUCGGGUGAGGCUGUGGCCUCGGGGGAGAGAGGUAGGUCGGGUGAGGCUGUGGCCUCGGGGGAGAGAGGUAGGUCGGGUGAGGCUGUGGCCUCGGGGGAGAGAGGUAGGUCGGGUGAGGCUGUGGCCUCGGGGGAGAGAG
rnacentral:lncRNA from 1 species